rnacentral:misc_RNA from 1 species
CUAGACUAACACUCAUCAUCUUACUGACCUUCCCAGCCAUAGUUAUUAGGCUCAGGAGUCAAAAUCUCAAAUUUUUGUCAUGUUGGGAAUGAAUUCCAUUGCAGGAAUUGUUACUUAAGAAAUGCAAGCUGCAGUAGUGGAACUUUUCCUUGUUUCACUUACAUAAACUUCUGCAAUCAAUUUAUUACAAAAAACAUCCCAUAGAAGUCAAGUAUCCCAUCUCUGCUGCGAAAUAUUCGGUGGGUUUCAGGGGUCUUUUUAUCGACUAAUGUACCAAUAGUACAGUUAAUUUCACCGCAAUGUAUCCCUUUAAAUUCUCUAUGCAUAUGUGCAGAAACUAUAUUCCGG